rnacentral:rRNA from 1 species
CACAGAACUUUCCAGAGAUGGAUUGGUGCCUUCGGGAACUGUGAGACAGGUGCUGCAUGGCUGUCGUCAGCUCGUGUUGUGAAAUGUUGGGUUAAGUCCCGCAACGAGCGCAACCCUUAUCCUUUGUUGCCAGCGGUCCGGCCGGGAACUCAAAGGAGACUGCCAGUGAUAAACUGGAGGAAGGUGGGGAUGACGUCAAGUCAUCAUGGCCCUUACGACCAGGGCUACACACGUGCUACAAUGGCGCAUACAAAGAGAAGCGACCUCGCGAGAGCAAGCGGACCUCAUAAAGUGCGUCGUAGUCCGGAUUGGAGUCUGCAACUCGACUCCAUGAAGUCGGAAUCGCUAGUAAUCGUGGAUCAGAAUGCCACGGUGAAUACGUUCCCGGGCCUUGUACACACCGCCCGUCACACCAUGGGAGUGGGUUGCAAAAGAAGUAGGUAGCUUAACCUUCGGGAGGGCGCUUACCACUUUGUGAUUCAUGACUGGGGUGAAGUCGUAACAAGGUAACCGUAGGGGAACCUGCGGUUGGAUCAC